UGCAUGGUAGAGCAGCGGUCAGCUCGCCGGGCUCAUAACCCGGAGGUCGGUGGUUCGAAUCCACCCCUUGCAACCA
rnacentral:tRNA from 1 species